rnacentral:snRNA from 1 species
AAAUGUGAGGACAAUCUGGCUGUGACAUGUCACCCCAUUGAUCACCAGGGUUGAUUCGGCUGAACUGGCUGGCUAGGCGGGUGUCCCCUUCCUCCUUCAGUGUUCUGUGUGCAUCCCUCCCAAAGCUGUGCUCUGGGUUAAAGAAGACAACCAGCCCCCAGAUAGAGGAGGACAGUUUCCUUGGUCAAGGGUAUAGGAGUAGCUGUGGUCCCCUUCUAGAAUCUCCAAACAAGCUCUCAUUUUAGAAAAUUGUAUUUCCUUCCUUAACAGCUAAAGAUAUCAAAUAUCUUUU